GUUGUAUUAGUGGUUCAUUUUGGAAACGCCCAUGUUGUCGCAUCCGUUCUCCGUUCGCGGGGGCGAAUGAUACAUACGCGGGUUUUGAAAAGCACAGUCGCGGUAGUAUUUCACACAUACCCCGACGCUAAAUAUAGCUGCUACGGACGAAAACUGGCUUUCUACUUUAAGUUACAUUCCGUGACAAAAAUUUGGAUUUACAGGAACUCCUUCGUCGGCGGGACGCGAAUGAGACGCGGGGUUUUAGCCGCGCGGUCGUUGUAGUAUUUCACACAUAUACCGCCUUAACUGGGUUCCUACGUUAAGAAUUACAUGCUUCAGUGAGAAAGUUGAGGAACAAAGUCGUCCGCGGGACACGAAUGAGACGUGCAAUGGGCUUCAUCUGCAUCGCGGUUUUGUGGGGUGAGCAAUUGGACAGGCAGGUGGAGAGGAGACACUAGAUGCAUUCAUCCCAGCUUCCUGUCUGACUUUGCCACUCUGUUCACAGCAUAUCAUCUUCAUUCAAAGCGCUCUGUAUCUGGAGAGAGGAACAAAGAAGUCAGGAGGAAAAGUAAACAUCAGGCCAAAUGGUACAGAAGAAACAGGUUGCAGUGAACCUACAUGUUGCCACUCUUCUUUGCAAAGUGAUGGAUUUGCAGUGAAGUUUCUACAAUGUAAGAAGUACAUACACAUACAAAGAUCUCUUUUUUUCUUUUAUUAUUCUCUAUCUGUAGCUAUCAUCCCUCAAUCUGUAUCUGACUGUAUUUA